rnacentral:rRNA from 1 species
CAGCAGCCGCGGUAAUACCGGCGGCCCGAGUGGCGGUCACUAUUAUUGGGCUUAAAGCGUCCGUAGCCGGGUUGGGAAGUCCUCCGGGAAAUCUGGCCGCUUAACGGUCAGAAUGCCGGAGGAUACUCCCAGCCUAGGGAGCGGGAGAGGCCGGGGGUAUUCCCGGAGGAGGGGUGAAAUCCUAUAAUCCCGGGAGGACCACCUGUGGCGAAGGCGCUCGGCUGGAACGCGUCCGACGGUGAGGGACGAAGGCCAGGGGAGCAAACCGGAUUAGAUGCCCGGGUAGUCCUGGCUGUAAACGAUGCGGACUUUGUGUCGGACAAGCUAUGAGCUUGUCCGGUGCCGGAGGGAAACCGUUAAGUCCGCCGCCUGGGGAGUACGGCCGCAAGGCUGAAACUUAAAGGAAUUGGCGGG